rnacentral:rRNA from 1 species
UACGUAGGGGGCAAGCGUUGUCCGGAUUUAUUGGGCGUAAAGAGCGUGUAGGCGGCUUGGUAGGUCCGCUGUGAAAACUCGAGGCUCAACCUCGAGAUGUCGGCGGAAACCACUUGGCUAGAGUCCGGAAGAGGAGAGUGGAAUUCCCGGUGUAGCGGUGAAAUGCGCAGAUAUCGGGAAGAACACCUAUGGCGAAGGCAGCUCUCUGGGGACGGUACUGGACGCUGAGACGC